rnacentral:rRNA from 1 species
GUCCACGCUGUAAACGAUGAAUACUAUGUGUGGGAGGACUGACCCCCUUCCGUGCCGCAGUUAACACAAUAAGUAUUCCACCUGGGGGAGUACGACCGCAAGGUUGAAACUCAAAAGGAAUUGGACGGGGGGCCCGCACAAGCAGUGGAUUAUGUGGUUUAAUUCGACGCAACGCGAAGAACCUUACCAGGAUUUGACAUCCAACUAACGAAGUAGAGAUACAUCAGGUACCCUUCGGGGGAAGUUGAGACAGGUGGUGCAUGGUUGUCGU